rnacentral:rRNA from 1 species
AAGCCAGUCGAAGAUACCAGCUGGCUGCAACUGUUUAUUAAAAACACAGCACUGUGCAAACACGAAAGUGGACGUAUACGGUGUGACGCCUGCCCGGUGCUGGAAGGUUAAUUGAUGGGGUUAGCGUAAGCGAAGCUCCUGAUCGAAGCCCCAGUAAACGGCGGCCGUAACUAUAACGGUCCUAAGGUAGCGAAAUUCCUUGUCGGGUAAGUUCCGACCUGCACGAAUGGCGUAAUGAUGGCCAGGCUGUCUCCACCCGAGACUCAGUGAAAUUGAACUCGCUGUGAAGAUGCAGUGUACCCGCGGCAAGACGGAAAGACCCCGUGAACCUUUACUAUAGCUUGACACUGAACAUUGAGCCUUGAUGUGUAGGAUAGGUGGGAGGCUUUGAAGUGUGGACGCCAGUCUGCAUGGAGCCAACCUUGAAAUACCACCCUUUAACGUUUGAUGUUCUAACCUAGGCCCAUAAACUGGGUCGGGGACCGUGUCUGGUGGGUAGUUUGACUGGGGCGGUCUCCUCCUAAAGAGUAACGGAGGAGCACGAAGGUUGGCUAAGCAUGGUCGGACAUCAUGCGGUUAGUGCAAAGGCAUAAGCCAGCUUGACUGCGAGAGUGACGGCUCGAGCAGGUACGAAAGUAGGUCUUAGUGAUCCGGUGGUUCUGAAUGGAAGGGCCAUCGCUCAACGGAUAAAAGGUACUCCGGGGAUAACAGGCUGAUACCGCCCAAGAGUUCAUAUCGACGGCGGUGUUUGGCACCUCGAUGUCGGCUCAUCACAUCCUGGGGCUGAAGUAGGUCCCAAGGGUAUGGCUGUUCGCCAUUUAAAGUGGUACGCGAGCUGGGUUUAGAACGUCGUGAGACAGUUCGGUCCCUAUCUGCCGUGGGCGUUGGAAGAUUGAGAGGGGUUGCUCCUAGUACGAGAGGACCGGAGUGAACGCACCACUGGUGUUCGGGUUGUCAUGCCAAUGGCAUUGCCCGGUAGCUAAGUGCGGAAGAGAUAACCGCUGAAAGCAUCUAAGCGGGAAACUUGCCUCGAGAUGAGUCUUCCCUGUCGCUUUAAGCGACCUAAAGGAACGUUUAAGACUAAGACGUUGAUAGGCUGGGUGUGUAAGCGUAGCGAUACGUUGAGCUAACCAGUACUAAUGAACCGUGAGGCUUAACCUG